CCUACGGGGGGCAGCAGUGGGGAAUAUUGGACAAUGGGGGGAACCCUGAUCCAGCGACGCCGCGUGAGUGAAGAAGUAUUUCGGUAUGUAAAGCUCUAUCAGCAGGGAAGAAAAUGACGGUACCUGAGUAAGAAGCCCCGGCUAACUACGUGCCAGCAGCCGCGGUAAUACGUAGGGGGCAAGCGUUAUCCGGAUUUACUGGGUGUAAAGGGAGCGUAGACGGCAGUGCAAGUCUGGAGUGAAAGGCGGGGGCUCAACCCCCGGACUGCUCUGGAAACUGUACGGCUGGAGUGCAGGAGAGGUAAGUGGAAUUCCUAGUGUAGCGGUGAAAUGCGUAGAUAUUAGGAGGAACACCAGUGGCGAAGGCGGCUUACUGGACUGUAACUGACGUUGAGGCUCGAAAGCGUGGGGAGCAAACAGGAUUAGAUACCCCUGUAGUC
rnacentral:rRNA from 1 species